rnacentral:piRNA from 1 species
UGGUGAACUAGGUUUUCAAGUAUCACAGAG